rnacentral:tRNA from 1 species
GCCUACUUGUUAAGGAAACUGUAAUAAGCGACAGCCUCCUAAGCUGUAGGUCGUAGGUUCGAUUCCUAUCUGGGACGCUA